AAGCUCGUAGUUGAAUUUCGGGGUUCUACCGUUGGUCGGGCUAACCAGUCUGUACUAGCGUGUAGAAUUCCUACCUUCUGGGGAACCAUCAUGUUAUUAAUUUAGCGUGGUGGGAAACCAGGACCUUUACCUUGAAAAAAUUAGAGUGUUCAAAGCAGGCUUACGUCUGAAUACAUUAGCAUGGAAUAAUAAAAUAGGACGGUGGUCCUGUUUUGUUGGUUUCCGAAUCACCGUAAUGAUUAAAGGAUAGUUGGG
rnacentral:rRNA from 1 species